rnacentral:rRNA from 1 species
AGGACGAACGCUGGCGGCGUGCUUAACACAUGCAAGUCGAGCGGAAAGGCCCUUCGGGGUACUCGAGCGGCGAACGGGUGAGUAAUACGUGAGCAACCUGCCCUUAGCUCUGGGAUAGCUCCGGGAAACCGGAAUUAAUACCGGAUAUGACCUAGGCCGACAUCGGCCGUGGUGGAAAGUUUUUCGGCUAGGGAUGGACUCGCGGCCUAUCAGCUAGUUGGUGGGGUAAUGGCCUACCAAGGCGACGACGGGUAGCCGGCCUGAGAGGGCGACCGGCCACACUGGGACUGAGACACGGCCCAGACUCCUACGGGAGGCAGCAGUGGGGAAUCUUGCGCAAUGGGCGAAAGCCUGACGCAGCGACGCCGCGUGGGGAUGAAGGCCUUCGGGUUGUAACCCCUUUCAGCAGGGACGAAGCGAAAGUGACGGUACCUGCAGAAGAAGCGCCGGCUAACUACGUCGCCAGCAGCCGC